rnacentral:tRNA from 1 species
GCGGCAGUGGCGGAACUGGUAGACGCACCAGCUUGAGGGGCUGGCGGGCGCAUAGCCCGUGGAGGUUCGAAUCCUCUCUGCCGCACCA